rnacentral:rRNA from 1 species
UACGUAGGGUGCAAGCGUUAAUCGGAAUUACUGGGCGUAAAGCGUGCGCAGGCGGUUUGUUAAGACAGAUGUGAAAUCCCCGGGCUUAACCUGGGAACUGCAUUUGUGACUGGCAAGCUAGAGUAUGGCAGAGGGGGGUAGAAUUCCACGUGUAGCAGUGAAAUGCGUAGAGAUGUGGAGGAAUACCGAUGGCGAAGGCAGCCCCCUGGGCCAAUACUGACGCUCAUGCACGAAAGCAUGGGGAGCAAACAGG